GAUGAAGAACGUAGCGAAAUGCGAUACGUAAUGUGAAUUGCAAAUUCAGUGAAUCAUCGAGUCUUUGAACGCACAUUGCGCCCCCUGGUAUUCCGGGGGGCAUGCCUGUCCGAGCGUCAUUGCUGCCCUCAAGCACGGCUUGUGUGUUGGGCCCCGUCCUCCGAUCCCGGGGGACGGGCCCGAAAGGCAGCGGCGGCACCGCGUCCGGUCCUCGAGCGUAUGGGGCUUUGUCACCCGCUCUGUAGGCCCGGCCGGCGCUUGCCGAUCAACCCAAAUUUUUAUCCAGGUUGACCUCGGAUCAGGUAGGGAUACCCGCUGAACUUAAGCAUAUAAUAAGCGGAGGA
rnacentral:misc_RNA from 1 species